rnacentral:rRNA from 1 species
UACGGAGGGUGCAAGCGUUGUUCGGAUUUAUUGGGCGUAAAGGGCGUGUAGGCGGUUCGUUAAGUCUGUUGUGAAAGCCCCGGGCUCAACCCGGGAAGUGCAUUGGAAACUGGCGAACUUGAGUACGGGAGAGGGCAGUGGAAUUCCUAGUGUAGGAGUGAAAUCCGUAGAUAUUAGGAGGAACACCGGUGGCGAAGGCGGCUGCCUGGACCGAUACUGACGCUGAGACGCGAAAGCGUGGGGAGCAAACAGG